rnacentral:rRNA from 1 species
UACGUAGGGGGCAAGCGUUGUCCGGAUUCAUUGGGCGUAAAGAGCGUGUAGGCGGCCAGGUAGGUCGGUUGUGAAAACUGGAGGCUCAACCUUCAGAGGUCGACCGAAACCAUCUGGCUAGAGUCCGGGAGAGGAGAGUGGAAUUCCCGGUGUAGCGGUGAAAUGCGUAGAUAUCGGGAGGAAUACCUGUGGCGAAAGCGGCUCACUGGACCACAACUGACGCUGAGGCGCGAAAGCUAGGGGAGCAAACAGG